rnacentral:rRNA from 1 species
CCUACGGGCCGCUGCAGUGGGGAAUAUUGGACAAUGGGCGAAAGCCUGAUCCAGCCAUGCCGCGUGUGUGAAGAAGGCCUUCGGGUUGUAAAGCACUUUCAGUGGGGAAGAAAGCCUUGGGGCUAAUACCCUCGAGGAAGGACAUCACCCACAGAAGAAGCACCGGCUAACUCCGUGCCAGCAGCCGCGGUAAUACGGAGGGUGCGAGCGUUAAUCGGAAUUACUGGGCGUAAAGCGCGCGUAGGCGGUCUGAUAAGCCGGUUGUGAAAGCCCCGGGCUCAACCUGGGAACGGCAUCCGGAACUGUCAGGCUAGAGUGCAGGAGAGGAAGGUAGAAUUCCCGGUGUAGCGGUGAAAUGCGUAGAGAUCGGGAGGAAUACCAGUGGCGAAGGCGGCCUUCUGGACUGACACUGACGCUGAGGUGCGAAAGCGUGGGUAGCAAACAGGAUUAGAUACCCGAGUAGUC